rnacentral:rRNA from 1 species
GGACCCGCACAAGCGGUGGAGCAUGUGGUUUAAUUCGAUGCAACGCGAAAAACCUUACCUACUCUUGACAUACUUGGAAGCUCUUGUAAUGAGAGUGUGCCUUUUGGAACCAAGAUACAGGUGCUGCAUGGCUGUCGUCAGCUCGUGUCGUGAGAUGUUCCGUUAAGUCGGAUAACGAGCGCAACCCUUACCCUUAUUUGCCAGCGAUUCGGUCGGGAACUAUAAGGGGACUGCCGGUGAUAAACCGGAGGAAGGUGAGGACGACGUCAAGUCAUCAUGGCCCUUACGAGUAGGGCUACACACGUGCUACAAUGGGGAAUACAGACGGACGCUAAGCCGCGAGGUGGUGCUAAUCCUAGAAAGAUACCUCAGUUCGGAUUGCACUCUGCAACUCGAGUGCAUG